rnacentral:lncRNA from 1 species
UGCUAUUUUAUAUCAGGGACUUGAGCAUCCCCCGAUUUUUGUAUUUUUAGGAGUCCUGGAACCAGUCCCCAGGAAUAUGGAAAGAGGACUGCCACUGCGUGCCUACUAGAAUGGCUUUAAAAACGAGGAUGCAAUGUGUCUGGUCCCAGAUGCCAUUGAGGACCUGGAGGAACCUCCAGAAAUGUGCCUGUGUUGGAAUUCUGGCUCUCCCAUUCACUAGCUGGCAGAACUGGAGUAGGUCAUAUGUCUUCUCUGUGCCUCAGCAUGUCCAUCUGAAAAUGAGAAUGACAGUGUCUCCCUCAUCGAGUCCUUGUGAGGAUGAAAUGGCCUUAACCGUUAUAGAGCAUUUGGGGCAGGGCCUGGCCCAUGGCUAAGUGUUGAGGAAGUUAGUGAGUGUCACUGAUAUUGAUAUUCCCCUGCUGGGUCUCCUCUUUCUCAUUCCUAGGAGGUACUUGUGAUUCCUCAUCUCAAAGGCCAGAAUCCAAAGUUGACUCUGUGAACCAAGUCACAUGGCAGGGAUGAUGGGAGGUUGCCCCGGAGAGGAAGAGGAAAGGAGUGAGUGGUUAGGAGGCAGUGAAGAUCGGCGGAGGAAAGAGGCUGGGGGAGUGCCCUGGGCUGGGGAGGUGGCAGCUCUGGCUCGCUAGUAGAGAGGACAGUGCCUCCUGGCAGUGCCCUGGGGAGGUGGCUGCCCAUGUGCAUGAGCUUUGCAGUAAGUGGAGACACCACCCUUGGGGGAGAGUGAAUGAGCCCUUGAGUGGUGACCGGGAGGACUAAAGACCACAGGACUCCUCUCUGAGGUUCUGGAGUUCAGGGCGUCCAGGGUGGGAGCAAAGGAUUCAGGACUUUGAAUUUUCCACCUGGUACCCAGGGGGCUCAACGCAUAUAAAAUGUGAUUUCGAAAAAGUUGUUGUUGUUGUUUUUAACUAUUUCACAUAAUUGGAGUUAAAAAAAACACCAGAAUCCAUACCUGCUUCCUCUGUCUUCCGUAUGUUGAGUUUUGUUGUUAAAGCUUCUCAGGACUUUGUCAUCCUCAGAAAAGCUCAGCUGUGACUUUCAGGGUGAUGUGUCUCAGGGGCCCUUCGGUCCCAGCAUCUGUCUGCUCCCCUGAUCCUUAUGCAUGGGCUCUGGUGAGAUUCCUGGGUGUGGUCGGUGCCUCUCAUUCUCUCUGGCCAGCCGGUGCUGACCCUGGCCAGGCCUGCCCAUGGACACCGCCUUUGUGACUCAGUAUGGGGGAUUUGAGGGGAGGUUGUGGGGAGGUGCACAGCUGCUUUUCAACAAUGUUGUGGAUGUGGUCCGGACCCGGAUGCAGACAUGGUGAAGAGCGGCUGGGGACGGCCCACCCGUAUGAGUGGCCGGCAGGGACUCAGUGCCUG